rnacentral:ncRNA from 1 species
CUGCCAUCGCAAGGUGACACUGAGCGCACAGAAGUCAGCAGAGGCCAUAGUAGCCGAAAAGCGAAGGG